GGACGGGGAGCUGGUCUGCCCGACGGGACCGGGAAGGCCGGGAAUGCUGGGAAGACUGGGAACGCUCGGCAUGCUGGGAGCCCGCACCAGACAUCUUUCUGUCUUAAUGAAGGCUUAACAAGAUAACGGAUUUCCUGCACAAAAUCUCUGCGAAAAUGAUUUCGUAAUGGAGGUCCAUCCAAGAAACCCCAACUCAUCUCCUGCAAAAUAUCCCACAAUGAAAAGCACCCACUGCAGCGCGACAUUACCUAACUGCCAAGCAGUUAAUGAGCUCGGGCUCCUCGCAGGGGGGGCGGCGGCUGGCGUGGAGGGAGAAGCUGGAGCUGCGGCGGCUG